rnacentral:lncRNA from 1 species
CCACACACUAAAAACCCUUGGAGACUAAUUUUUGCCCAGAGGCUCCUAUGAAAACUUAAGAACCUGAAAUAAAUCCAAUAAAACCUAGGCCUGGGCAUAGAUCAGGUUAGGUUGGUUUUGACUCCAACCCGAAAUUGAAACCGACUUGAUCGAUUAAGAUAAAGAGGAAAUUACACGAAACCAGAAUUUUAAAAUUCCCAUUUCAAAAUUAAGACCCACAAGUUUUUUUUUUUUUAAAUCAGAUGAUAAUAAAUAUAGCACACAAUUUCAACCCAAACCCUAAUUAUACAUCUCCAUUACUCUCUCUCUCUAAACCCGUCUCUCAUCAUCCCCCUCUUCUGUCUUCUCUUGUCUCUCAGUCAAAGAUCCCUCUCUUCUCUCUUUCAUCUCUGUCGGUGUAGAUCGCGACGGCGUGGUGCGGUGGAUAUGGAGACACUAUGUGCAAAUUGCGACGAUUCCUCUCUUCUCUCCUUCAUCUCUCCGGCGACGAUGGCAUGGUGUGUGUUCGGCUGGGUGUGGGUGUGGUGGUGUGUGUACGGUGGAGGUAGCGUGAGGUUGUGGUGGUGUGUGCGCGACGGCGGUAGCGUGCUAUUGUGGUGCGCUUCAGAUUCCUCGUUCGUUGCAGAGUCACAAUCGAUCUGUGUCGCGGUGGUUUGUUUGAAGUGUGGCCGUGGGUUGUUUGAGUUGUUACGGUGGUGGCUAAUUUGGCUGUCGAGAUGGUGAUGGUGCUGGCAAUAGUUUAGAUCUGGUGUUGUAAUAUUUUAGAUCUAGUGUUGCAAUUUUGUUUGAGGUGCUGCAGUGGUAGCUUUGGUGGUGGGAUCUCAGGAGAUCUGGUGUUUGUGUGGUGGCGGUGAUUUGUUUGAGGUGUUGCAGUGGUGGCGGAUCUUGACGGAUUUGGUGUUUUUGUAGUGGCGAUUGUCGAGGUGGGAUGAGAUGAGAUUGAAUGCUUAUGACCAAUUAUUUGGUUGAUUGUGAUUAAUAAUUGGAUGUGUGACUUGAAAAUUAUAACUUUGACUCUCGAUUGUGACUCAUGAUUGAUUAAGUUGUGACAGAAAAAUUAAUCACGACCAAUUAAUUCAAUAAUUUCAAUGAGUAAAUGAGUUGUGACCAAUAAAAGUUUUGAUUCUGUAACUAAUGGAUAAUUUAUGACCUAUAAAAUUUUUGGAUUCAUGAUCGAAAAAUUCUCUGUGAUCUAUAAAAAUUUUGAUUUGUGACAAAAAAUAAGCUGUGAUCGAUAAUUUGAUAAAUUGUGACU